ACGGAGGAUCCAAGAGUUAUCCGGAUUUACUGGGUUUAAAGGGUGCGUAGGCGGAUUGAUAAGUCAGUGGUGAAAGCCUACAGCUUAACUGUAGAACUGCCUUUGAUACUGCCAGUCUGGAGGAUGGUAGAGGAAGGUGGAAUGCGUCAUGUAGCGGUGAAAUGCGUAGAUAUUAGGGGGAACACCAGUGGCGAAGGCGACUUACCAGGCUGUUCCUGACGCUGAGGCGCGAAAGCGUGGGGAGCUAACAG
rnacentral:rRNA from 1 species